rnacentral:lncRNA from 1 species
AGCAAGUGGCUGUGGUCCCCUUCCACGGUGUGGGGGCUUUGUUCUUUCCCUCUUUGCAAUAAAUCUUGCUGCUGCUCACUCUUUGGGUCCACACUGUCUUUAUGAGCUGUAACAUUCACCGCGAAGGUUUGCAGCUUCACUCCUUAAGCCAGUGAAACCACUAACCCACCAAGAAGAAUGAACAAACAACUCCAGACGCGCGGCCUUAAGAGCUGUAACACUCACCGCGAAGGUCCGCAGCGUCUCUCCUGAGCUAGUGUGACCACGAACCAACCAGAAGGAACAAACUCCGAACACGCCGCCUUUAAGAACUGUAAUACUCACCGCGACGGCUUUUAAGAACUGUAACACUCACCGCGACGGUCGGCGGCUUCAUUCUUGAAGUCAGUCAGACCAAGAACCUACCAAUUCCGGACGCACUACCCGGGGGACAUGAUAAAUCUGGGAAGGGCACCUCAGGUCACCCACUCGGAACAUGAAGCACAGCUUGCCAUUUCGGACGGCAAUCACAGCAUGGCGGCUGAAAAUCAAAGUUUCUGCCCUUCUGUGAGCCUGAGCUGUUUUCAUGAAAAUGCAGCCUAACAUGACUGCAUUGAUGAUCAAACCCACAAUAUUCUGGAGAAUCAAAACCGUGAUGGCCAAAGGGCAUUCCUCUGUCAUCAUCCUCCCUCCAAACCCAAUGGUA